UCGGCCCCGGUUCACGUUUGCCGCGCCCCGCGGAAGCGACCCGGAGCC
rnacentral:ncRNA from 1 species